GCUCUGUCAGCCUUUGCUAUUCUCAGAUUAUUCCUCUUAAAAAACCAACCAACCAACCAACAAAAAAACAAAAACCAAACGAACAAACAAACCUCACAUCUCUUGUGCCAUCACAGAAGAAACUGAAAGCACUCACUUCAUUUUUAUUAUGCAGAGCAAUUUGGUCAGCUGAGAUUCAUCCUUCCCAUCCUUCCUCUGCCCUUGACCUUUAAUUUUAUCAUUUAUGUUACCUUUCAUAAUAGGUGGCUCUUUUAGGCACUGAUUAUGAGCAGUUAAUGAAUUUGGGGGAGCUGAUGUGAAAGUAAAGGGGAUGUUGUAACAAAUGAGAAUCCUUAUUUUGCCAUUUAUUGACUAUGUCUCUAUGCAGGUAUACAGUUUUUGUCUUUAUUUAGCUGUUUUUGUCUUCAUCCCUCAUCUAUAAAAAUAAGGUUAAUAUCAAGUGUAUUACAGAGUGACUGUGAGAAUUAAUAUGAUAAUACAUAAAGAGCAAUUUGUCCCAUAGGAGGCCCAAAAAUGAAAGCUGAUGAUCUAAUUAAGACUGAGGUGGGGCCAGGCACAUGAGCAUGUACCUGCAAUCCCAACAAGUUAGGAGACUGAGGAAGGAGGACCACAAAGUCCAGACCAGUCUCAGCAACUUAGUGAGGCCUUGAUUCAAAAUAAAGAAUAAAAUGGGCUGGGAUACAGCUCAGUGGUAAAGCAUCCCUGGGUUUAAUCCCUAGUGCCCUCCCCCCCAAUAAAAGGACUGAGGAGAGGGAAGGGAGAAGGGAAUAAAAAUGUUUUGUAAGUUGUUGAUUUACAAUAAAUUCUCCAAAGAGAUUUUCUUUCAAAAUAUUACUGAUUAAAAAGGUUAUCAUCAGGGGAAAACAUCUUAGGUAAGAAAUGGAAAAAUUUUUAGCAUAAAGCUAAUUUUCUAAUAUUUGAGCAAAGCUGAGAGUGGGGAGCGAUUGGUUGGAAACAGUCCCUUACCAUGGAUCACUAUCUUGACCUUGUUUUUUGUGAAAUGGAGAGAGUGUGUGGUCAGCUGCUCCUGAGGUCCCACACACCUGGAAAUCUGUGUCUU
rnacentral:lncRNA from 1 species